AGUCCCGCAACGAGCGCACCCUUAUCCUUUGUUGCCAGCACGUAAUGGUGGGAACUCAAAGGAGACUGCCGGGGAUAAACCGGAGGAAGGGGGGGAUGACGUCAAGUCAUCAUGGCCCUUACGAGUAGGGCUACACACGUGCUACAAUGGCAGAUACAAAGAGAAGCGACCUCGCGAGAGCAAGCGGAACUCAUAAAGUCUGUCGUAGUCCGGAUUGGAGUCUGCAACUCGACUCCAUGAAGUCGGAAUCGCUAGUAAUCGUAAAUCAAAAUGCUACGGUGAAUACGUUCCCGGGCCUUGUACACACCGCCCGAAAACC
rnacentral:rRNA from 1 species